rnacentral:rRNA from 1 species
AUUGAACGCUGGCGGCAUGCCUUACACAUGCAAGUCGAACGGUAACGGGCCUUCGGGUGCCGACGAGUGGCGAACGGGUGAGUAAUGUAUCGGAACGUACCUUUCAGUGGGGGAUAACGUAGCGAAAGUUACGCUAAUACCGCAUAUUCUGUGAGCAGGAAAGCAGGGGAUCGCAAGACCUUGCGCUGAUUGAGCGGCCGAUAUCAGAUUAGCUAGUUGGUGAGGUAAAGGCUCACCAAGGCGAUGAUCUGUGGCGGGUCUGAGAGGAUGAUCCGCCACACUGGAACUGAGACACGGUCCAGACUCCUACGGGAGGCAGCAGUGGGUAAUUUUGGACAAUGGGGGCAACCCUGAUCCAGCCAUGCCGCGUGAGUGAAGAAGGCCUUCGGGUUGUAAAGCUCUUUCGGCCGGGAAGAAAUCGUAUCAGCUAAUACCUGGUGCGGAUGACGGUACCGGCAUAAGAAGCACCGGCUAACUACGUGCCAGCAGCCGCCGUAAGAC